rnacentral:rRNA from 1 species
UACUAGCACCCCGAGUGGUCGGGACGUUUAUUGGGCCUAAAGCAUCCGUAGCCGGUUCUACAAGUCUUCCGUUAAAUCCACCUGCUUAACAGAUGGGCUGCGGAAGAUACUAUGGAGCUAGGAGGCGGGAGAGGCAAGCGGUACUCGAUGGGUAGGGUAAAAUCCGUUGAUCCAUUGAAGACCACCAGUGGCGAAGGCGGCUUGCCAGAACGCGCUCGACGGUGAGGGAUGAAGCUGGGGAGCAAACCGG